UACGUAGGGUGCAGGCGUUGUCCGGAAUUAUUGGGCGUAAAGAGCUCGUAGGCGGUUUGUCGCGUCUGCUGUGAAAACCCGAGGCUCAACCUCGGGCCUGCAGUGGGUACGGGCAGACUAGAGUGCGGUAGGGGAGAUUGGAAUUCCUGGUGUAGCGGUGGAAUGCGCAGAUAUCAGGAGGAACACCGAUGGCGAAGGCAGAUCUCUGGGCCGUAACUGACGCUGAGGAGCGAAAGCAUGGGGAGCGAACAGG
rnacentral:rRNA from 1 species